UUGUUUUAAUAGUCUUUAGUCAAUAACGGAUUUUUAAAUUGUUAUGAGUCUACAACACUUAAUUUCAGCGAAAUUCAAUUAAAAAGUCAUGUUAUAAAAGACAGAAAAAUAUCAAUAUCUGUUUUCAGUAACUUGGUUUUCAUAGCAAAUCUGAGAGGUACAAAUGUUUAGCUUGAUUUAAGUACAACAUAAUACAAUACAACGUUGUACAGUCAUUUUGAUGGUUGUAAACUUAUUUAGCACACUCAUUUUUAUAUAUUUGUAGACUGUUUACCGUUUGACUCCUGUCCCAACCUAACCUAGUGGUUCAAAAAGAAGGGACCGCGCUGGAAACAUGAAUGGAUUAAAAGGAUCAUCCCUUUUUGAAUUAAUAGUCGAAGUGGUAACCAGCUAGAAGUCGUAACUUGCUCGUAUGAAAGGAUUUCUCGACGUGAAAUUGUUAAUUUUAUUCAACAACGCCAAGAAACAGAGCUCGCUCAAGAAACAGAAAAGAAAGAGAAA